rnacentral:rRNA from 1 species
UACGUAGGGUGCAAGCGUUGUCCGGAUUUAUUGGGCGUAAAGAGCUCGUAGGCGGUCUGUCGCGUCUGCUGUGAAAACUCAGGGCUUAACCCUGAGCUUGCAGUGGGUACGGGCAGACUAGAGUGCGGUAGGGGAGACUGGAAUUCCUGGUGUAGCGGUGAAAUGCGCAGAUAUCAGGAGGAACACCGGUGGCGAAGGCGGGUCUCUGGGCCGUAACUGACGCUGAGGAGCGAAAGCAUGGGGAGCGAACAGG